rnacentral:lncRNA from 1 species
AGUGCAGAUUCUGAGUGGGAAUGAGGUUUUAUGGGUGUGAAUUGUUGAAGUGACUGUGUUAGAGAACAAUGAGCUGUUUUGGGUUUUGAAUGAAAAUGGAGAGGAAGUUGGGAAUGGAGUUAAGGACAUGGAAAUGGUGGGAUUGAGGUUGGGGGCCAUACCCAUUGAGGCAAAAGAUGCAAUCUUGAACUGGGUUCAAGUUUAUGAGAGCACGAGUGGGAGAAUUGAUUGAGACUUAAUUGGAUUUGGGUCACUCAGUUCUGAUGGAUAAGGCGCCAAAAGACAACAGUCUGUGGUGAAUUCUCAAGUUCACUUA